GGGUAGGUGGCAGAGCAGCUAUUGCACCAGACUGUAAAUCUGGCGUCUUCGGACUUCGGGGGUGCAAGUCCCUCCCUACCCA
rnacentral:tRNA from 1 species